rnacentral:rRNA from 1 species
CAGAGUUGAUCCUGGCUCAGGAUGAACGCUAGCUACAGGCUUAACACAUGCAAGUCGAGGGGCAGCAUCAUCAAAGCUUGCUUUGAUGGAUGGCGACCGGCGCACGGGUGAGUAACACGUAUCCAACCUGCCGACAACACUGGGAUAGCCUUUCGAAAGAAAGAUUAAUACCGGAUGGUAUAGUUUUCCCGCAUGGGAUGAUUAUUAAAGAAUUUCGGUUGUCGAUGGGGAUGCGUUCCAUUAGG